rnacentral:lncRNA from 1 species
AUGUUUCCGGUGUCGGACCUCCUGCUCGGUCUGGAUGUCUGGGCUAUGACGCCGUCUGGCACCCGGCUGCUCAACCUCACCUCCUAUAGCACCCUGCCGGCCGGCGGGGGUCACUGCAGCCUGCCGGCCCACACAGCCCACACCACGGAGAAGGAGGAGGACCUGACACACACCCCACAGCUGGUAACACAAGCACACACAUGGACAUGGUUCAGAAGGAUUGUACUUUUAUACAUGAUUACACGUGUGUGUGUGUGUGUGUGCGUGUGCGUGUGUGCGUGUGCGUGUGCGUGUGUGUGUGUGUGUGUGUGUGUGUGCAGAACCGUUCUAACAGCAGGAGUUUGGCUGUGGAGUGCAGGCUGAGUGUCGCGGCCAGGAGCACCGUGCAGGUCAGCAUCUCAGGGAGACUGCAGCAUCACACGCUGGCCACCGUGAGUCACUUUACAUUCCCUCACUUUAUAUUAGCAGAAUGAUGGAGGAGAGGAGAGACAGAAUGAAGGAGGGCUGAGAGACAGAAUGAUUGACGGAUGAGGGAGGAGAGACAGAAUGAUGGAGGGAUUAGAGAGGAGAGACAGGUUUUGUAUUGCCCUGAGACAUGUAUGACCUCUGUCCUCAGAAGGUGAAGUUCCGAUCUCUGGAGAUCUUGACGUGUGCAAACCUUCACCUCGACCUGACCAGCAGCAGCUUUCUGCAGGAGGACAGACCGACUAGAGUGGUAACCUACCUGUCUGUCUGCCUACCUAGCUGUCUGUCUGCCUACCGAGCUGUCUGGCUACCUACCUAGCUGUAUGUCUGUCUACGUAACUAUCUGUCUACCUAACUGUCUGUCUGUCUACCUAACUGUCUGCCUACCCACCUGUCUGUCUGUCUCUCCCUGUCUGUCUCUUGAUGACCCCUGUCCUGUGUGCAGGUGGUGUUGGGGCUGAGGAAGGAGCUGCUCUCUGAGCUGCCCGUGCUGGUGGUGCUGGGCAGCGUGCUCGGAGGACUGGUGCUGCUCGCCCUGCUGGUCCUGCUCCUGUGGAGGGUGAGACGCGUCCUCCAUUAGGCUGCUCAGGGACCCGGCUCAGGGGCUAGGCUCAGGGGCCCGGCAAUUAGCUAGUGUUGACACCUAGCUUUAAGCGGCCGCUAAUGCUUAGAACCAGCUAGGGCUUAGAACCCGCUAAUGCUUAGAACCAACUGCCGUUUGGGUUCAGAUAGCGUUAAGAACAGCUAGUUUAGAACCAGCUAGCUUUUAGAACAGACAGAACUUCCUGGUUCUGAGGAUCUUCUUCUUCUCUCCAGCUGGGUUUUUUCAGGAGGCGGACCCGGAAGGAAGCAGAGGAGGCGGAGGGGCUGGCGUUGACCAACGAGAAGAUGGCAGAGAACUUGCUGUAGUCAAGAUGUCCUCAAGUCUACAGGUUACCUGCUCUCAGGGCCAGCACUCCCUAACCCUGUCAUCCUCUAGAUAUAUAUCUAUACACAUAAUGCAUACAUUUCUAUGUUAUAUAUAUCGUCUGAAUGUUGUUUUUUACACUCUUUGUUGUAGAUCGACAAGACUAUUCAGAACUUACAGAAAACUGUUCUUUAGACCAAGCCAUGAAGGAGCAGGUAGGGGUUAGACAGUACAUACCCAUGUCAUUAAGGAGCAGGUAGGGGUUAGAGUCUAACCCCUACCUGCUCCUUAAUGACCUGUCUCUGUACUGUCUGACCCCUACCUGCUCUUUCAUGACCUGUCUCUGUACUUUCUAACCGUUGGACAGUACAGAGACAGGACAUUAAGGAGCCGGUAGGGGUUAGACAGUACAGAGACAGGACAUUAAGGAGCAGGUAGGGGUUAGACAGUACAGAGACAGGUCAUUAAGGAGCAGGUAGGGGUUAAACAGUACAGAGACAGGUCAUUAAGGAGCAGGUAGGGGUUAAACAGUACAGAGACAGGUCAUUAAGGAGCAGGUAGGGGUUAGACAGGACAGAGACAGGUCAUUAAGGAGCAGGUAGGGGUUAGACAGUACAGAGACAGGUCAUUAACACGCAUCUUGCUCUAGGAUGCCUUCAGGUAGACUGAGGAAUUUGGGGAUUGAACCCAGAACCUCAGCUGGGAUUUAAAUAGCCUAACCACAAUGAACCUACCCUCUCUACCUACUAGAUAGACUAACCACUAGAGGCUUCUAGAAGCUACUCGCUGUUAUCGUUUUUUUUAUACAUAGCUAAUGCACUUUUGUUGUGUGAACUUGAACCUGUGUAAAUAUCUGUGUGGGAAAUAUGUGUGUUGCAAGUAUUCUGAUUAAACAUGUCACCGUAAUAUGAGAUGGUACGUUAUGACUUAAUGUUGAGACAAAAUUAAAGAUAUCAGAAAAUACAUCUCACCAUCUGGUAAGAGCUUUUAUUUUGAAAAUGCACUGGUUGGACUUUUCUAGGUUUGGUCAAGACCUAUAUCUGUACUGUCCAACUCCUACCUGCUCCUUACCGACCUGUCUCUGUACUGUCUAACCCCUACCUGCUCCUUAAUGACCUGUCUCUGUACUGUCUAACCCCUACCUGCUCCUUAAUGACCUGUCUCACCCCUACCUACUCCUUAAUGACCUGUCUCUGUACUGUCUUACCCCUACCUGCUCCUUAACGACCUGUCUAACCCCUACCUGCUCCUUAAUGACCUGUCUCUGUACUGUCUAACCCCUACCUACUCCUUAAUGACCUGUCUCUGUACUGUCUUACCCCUACCUGCUCCUUAACGACCUGUCUCUGUACUGUCUAACCCCUACCUGAUCCUUAAUGACCGGUCUCUGGACUGUCCAACCCCUACCUGCUCCUGAUGACUUUGAGUAGGUCAAAGCUUAUUUUAUCUUAUUGGAGAGAAAACAGAGGCUAAAAGCAGAAGACUGGUUCAGUAUUUAAUCAAGCAGUCUCCAGAUCGUCUCUUAAAACAUUUUACACUCAAUUAAAAAGGAAACUCUUUGGCCUCAAUUCAGCCGGAGCAACAUUGAGCUGUAGGGAAGACCCUGAAUCCAUUAGUGUUGUUAGGAGUCCCAGCAGGGGUCCCAGCGGGGGGGGACCCAGGUCCCCCCUGCAGGACUACGCUGUGGUCGGCUCCCAAGGGACCCACCCUCUCAAAACAUUCCACCCCCAGGGCCGUGUUGGAGAUACUUGGUGUUCAACAGUCACAUUCUCCACCAGUCUGACCGUUAGAAAAUAAAUCACACCCAAUAGUUUUAUAAAGCACAGUCCUUAAAUAAAGAAUUAAAAAUAUGGAUGACCAAAAAGUACAGUUUCUUUCCGCCCUCAGCCCGUGGGUCCAGAGACCCACGGCCGACUGACAUCAGUUCAAAGGUCGUGAGAAGAGUCAGCAGUGGACCCGGUCCUCUGAAGAUCCUAGGGGUGGUCCACCAGGUCCUCGGGAGACCGGAUCUCAGGU